rnacentral:lncRNA from 1 species
UGUCUUACGGCAUAGGUGGCCUCUCAGAGUCUCAGCAAGGUCACUCUUUUCCAUAUGUAAUAAUGAGCCAUUGUUCUAUUCAUCAUGACCUCAUAGAGCCUUUUCUUUUUCUCAGGUCUCAUUUACUUCCUCUUUUUUUUUUCCUUUUCCUUUUCCUAUACCUUCCUUUGGUCCUUAUAAGUAUCCAAAUUGCCCUAAAAUAACUUCUGCACAUGCAGCAUUAGGAAGCAGUGUUUCCCAACCACUACAUUUGAAUGAUUCAUUCCUCUGAGGACCCUCAAGUACUUCAGAAGAACUAAAAAAUGAAUAUCACGUUACACCAAAGAAGAAAUGAAAGCUGCCAGUGUCUUCUGAAGUUAAACAGGCUCCUGUUCUUUGACCCAGCAAUCCAAUCCUAGGUAUUUAAUUGUUCCCUGAGGUUUAAGGCAGUGGACUGAGGAUAAUACAGGCUCCAGCUUUCAUUAGUUCAAUGGAUGAUGCUGUUCAAUCCAUACUGUUUGGGGCAUUUGUUGAAAAUGUCAUUCAGAAGAUAUCAACACUUUCUGAGUCAUGGUUUGAUUGAAUUUAUAGAAUUAUGUGAUAGAAACCACAUUCUUCACAAAAGUCACAAGGCAAUAAUGACGACAAGGGUUGAAGAUGAAAGAUGCCAAAUAUUCUGAUCAAUUCAAUAAGGCAAAAAGACAAGUUAAUUCACUCAGUGCUCCAGGCAUCAACUUCAUAGAAGGAAUGGAAAUUCUACCUGUUUCCUAAAGAACUACAGAGGACUCCAACUAAGCCACUAUGCUGGGAGCAGAGAUGGGGAAGAAUUGCUGAGUCAUGAUAAGAGAAGGCACUAUAGGAAGAAACAGUGAACUCUUAACAGCUGGGCAAGCAAUGAGUCAGCCUGGGUGGUCACUCCAGAUGCUCCCGGACACAUCCCAAUUUCUAGGAUGCCUUGCUGAUAUGUACUUCUCAAGGAAAAAAAAUGGUCACUAUAUAUAUUAAACUGACAGAGGAAAAGUGGAAAUAACAUAUGUCUUAGAUCUCCAUUUUGGCGAAGACAGGCUUCAGCUGUAAAGAAUCGAAGAAUAAAAUGAGACCAACAAAGUGAAAUCAUUUCUGAACCCAGUAACUAUUACUGCAGCACUGAUCUGCUGAACCGGCAGAGGAGUCCAAAAGAAAAAUCUACUCAUCCCAAAUGAGCAUUUACUCUCAAUAUGAUGUGUUUCACUAGCUCCUUUCCUCUAAAGCACUUUUUUUCCCUUGCAUUGUUUUUUUUUCUAAUUAUAUGUGUGGCUUUAGACAAAUUAUUCCAAUUCUCUGCACUUCGAGUUUAUCAAAUAAAAAUCAAGAAUAAUCUCUAGCUCAUAGUGUGUAGAGACUGAGUUUGAUUCUGUAUGAAGUGCCCAGCGCAGGCCUGGCCAUCUAGUGAGAGAACAGUAAAUGGUCUACUUGGGAGAACUCCUCAGUUAGAACUUUAAUGAUUAGGUAGCUAAUGAUCUGUAAUACCCUCCUUAGCACCUGUUAAUCUCACUUUAAUAAGGAGAGUAUGUCCGGCCUUUUACAAGAAGCCACAGAUACUCCAGCCAGCAAGGUUGGAGGCAAGGCUGGAUCUGGACCAAAGAGGCUGGUCAGCAAGUGCUUGGGAGCCAAGUCCUGAAAACAUUCAUCAGAAACGUUUCCUGCAUCUUCAGUGGCCUGUAGACUGGGCAGCAGGCAACUCUCUAAAUUUUACUGCAGUCAGAAGUUCAGGAUGGGAACCUGCUCAGAAAGGGUGGGGCGCAGCAUUUCAGGGGUUAUGGUCAUCUCCAGGAGAGUGGAGUAGGUUGUGAAGAGGCGAGUACUUCUACAGAAUCUCUAAAGCCAUCAUUUUGACAUAGGAAAUAUAGAGGGUAAGGGAUUGAGAUGAAAAAUGAAACUACUCUUUCAAGUGUGUUUCCUCCACACUUCUCUCUUAUCCUCCCUUUGUCUACGCUCUUCCAUGGGUGGUAUUUUAAAAGAUGCCUUUUCUAGUAGAAGUUUUGUAAUACUUUAAAAAUGCUCAGAGGCAUUUUUCCAAUUUGGAGUCAAUAUACUUUGUAUACUGAUGAGAUACUGCAGUUAAGUAAUUAGCUGUCUGCAACUAGUUAAUUAAGAGAUACUGCAGUACCUUGGCCUCAGGCAUUAAGCAAGUCUAGCUGAUAAGCUGGAAAUUGGCAAAUAGGAGGAUUGACAAGACACAAGAGCAUAAUGCGACACUCAGUCGCAUUUGACAAAAAAAAAAAUUUGUUUUUCCAGUGGGUAAAUGAGUGAGUGCCACCUAAAGUCAUACAGGUGGGUCUUUUAAUAAACCCAAAUAUUGUCAGGAAAGCGGAGACUUCCAACUGUUGGAAAAUGUCGCAGUAAACAGAAUUCUUCCUGAAUUUCAUUCUAUUUUCAUUUUCCUAUCACCCCAGUCCUGAAAUUACUGAAUUCAAGGGGAGAGUUAAGACUGAGAAACCCUUGAGGUUGCCACCUGGCAGGGUCACAACCAGCAGAGACCUCGUGUGGACUUUUAAAGGGCAGCUUUUCCUCUAGCCAGACCCUUGCCCUUGCUCCAGCAUCCAGCUUGCUGAGUAGGACCUGAACAGGACUCCACCUACACUUACCCUUUGGGAAUUCACGCUCAACCUGCGCAACCGUAGGCAGGACCCCCACCUCCCACCCACCCAGAUCAAAGGAAGACUUGACUUUGGAGAGUAAAUCCUCUCGGAGAAGAGAUCAGAUCAUUUCUCCCUACCUUGGAAGGAAAGGAACAUUUCCAAGUGAAAGGUCUUGUCUGCUACUCACCUACAGCGCAAGUCCCACGGUGCCUUGAGUGUUUGCGAGUGUCUCCUCACACCCAGAAAUGCCCCACUAAGGGACAUCUGUGUUUCUUGGAGCUAAGAAUUACCUAUUGGUGAGUGGAGUAGGAAAUAGAGGAAUAGUAUCAGAAUCUGGGCGGGCCUUCCACAUGCCCACCUGAAGACCCUGAUGUGUGACCACGCCCCCUUAGGAGCAUGCCCUCUCCCACUCCUGGCUCCCAUCGCUUGCAAAUUCUUAUGUAAUGAGAAAAUGCUGAAAGAGUAUACACAUGUGAAGAGGAUCAAAGCAGAAAACAAACUGGGAAAUUACAGAUUCCUCCUUAAGUCAAAGCACUAGACUAUUUGAAUGGUAUCUCUCUCCCACACAGUGUUCUUCAAUGCCGUGCUCAUUGUGAGCUGCACUGACUGUCUGCAUAAGAAUCACUUGGAUACAUGUCAAAAAUACAUCCUAGGCUUACUAAAUCUGAAUUAGUAGGAACAGAGCUAGAAAUCUACAUCUUUUAACAAAGUCUCCAGGUGACUUUCAUGUAUUCAGAAGUUUGUGAAUGACUAAUCUACCAGGACUGGUAUCUUAUACAGUCAAUGUUUGUUUCUCUAUCAGAAUCUGGGAGGGCUUUCCACACGCCCACCUGAAGACCAUGUGUGACCACGCCCCCAGAGGAGCAUGCCUUCUCCCACUCCCCAAUCCCAUUGCUUAUGACUUCAUUCACAUUUAGAGCGUGGACAGUGAAUCCCCAAUGUCAUUUACACAGUGUUGUUCUUGUCAUGGUCUAAACCAGCUUACCCCACUGCCACAUUUAUCCAUCAGCCUAUGGGAAAAGGGAAAAAGGAUGUGGAAGUCUUUUCCAGAUACGGCCUGGGAUUUACAUCUGGGGAGCAAGGAUAUAGCAGCCCAAGAAUAAUUAGAUGGGGCAAAAUAUUUACCCUGAUGAAUAAGGCACUGACAUGGCAAGCAAACCAAAAUAUCCCCAGUCACAGAUACAAUGACAAACUCUCUCUCCAAGUCCUCCUGUCCUACUGUUGUUUGAGUGAUUAUACCUAAUUCCAUCUCAAUUCCUCUCAAUGUUCCUCACAAAUUGAUGACCUAAUACUUCAUGCCAGGAUAUUCUUGGUUAUACUGGAUUUCUAAGGCAUUUUAAUUAUCAUUAUGCGUUCAGGGAUACUGAUUUCUACAAUACAGAAAAUGUUGAAACUUACAAGUCUGUGAAACCAGAACUUACAAAACCUAUCUUGUUCUGAGUAGCAUUGAAACUGUCAAGGGAUAAAUUGGUAUUUAAUAAAAUUAUCUUUUUAUUAUUACCAUGGGAACUCUCCACAGUACACAAAUACAGAUGCUGACAAGGAAUAAAAUACCCAGCACC